rnacentral:misc_RNA from 1 species
AAGGAAGACAAUUUCAAGGAUCAUGCUAAAUACAAAAGGCAGCCAAACACAACAUAUUAUUCUCAAGGUAAAGUGAAUAGGGCACUGUCACAUACCCACAUGCUAAUAGAUAAGUAGAUCCAGUGCAACACAUCCUGGAGUACAAGAAACAUGCACUCAAGGAAGUAUGACAGUGCCUUGGCGAUCAACGAGUAGUACAUUCUAGUUAUAGCUUCAUAA